AUUGAACGCUGGCGGCAGGCCUAACACAUGCAAGUCGAACGAGUGGCGGACGUGUGAUUAAUGUCUGGUAAACUGCCUGAUGGAGGGGGAUAACUACUGGAAACGGUAGCUAAUACCGCAUACCAUCGGAUGUGCCCAGAUGGGAUUAGCUAGUAGGUGGGGUAAAGGCUCACCUAGGCGACGAUCCCUAGAUGGUCUGAGAGGAUGAACAGCAACCCUGGAACUGGGACACGGUCCAGACUCCUACGGGAGGCAGCAGUGGGGAAUAUUGGACAAUGGGCGCAAGACUGAUGCAGCCAUGCCGCGUGUAUGAAGAAGGCAUUCGGGUUGUAAAGUACUUUCAGCGGGGAGGCGUUACCCGCAGAAGAAGCACCGGCUAACUCCGUGCAAGCAGCCGCGGUAAGUC
rnacentral:rRNA from 1 species